rnacentral:tRNA from 1 species
AUUUAAAUAGUUUAAUUUAAAAAUAUUGAUUUGUGGAAUCAAAGUUAUAAAAUAAUUAUUUUAAAUA